UCCUCAAGGAAGAUAAUGACGGUACUUGAGGAGGAAGCCCCGGCUAACUACGUGCCAGCAGCCGCGGUAAUACGUAGGGGGCUAGCGUUAUCCGGAUUUACUGGGCGUAAAGGGUGCGUAGGCGGUCUUUCAAGUCAGGAGGGAAAGGCUACGGCUCAACCGUAGUAAGCUCUUGAAACUGGGAGACUUGAGUGCAGGAGAGGAGAGUGGAAUUCCUAGUGUAGCGG
rnacentral:rRNA from 1 species